AAGGUCUGCAUACAGAGAUUCUGGAACUAUUGGUUUGGAGGUGCCCGAUGGAGCCCAGGAACCAAGGAACGGGAGGCGCCCCUGCUCUGAUCGUGCGCCUGGCUUGGCUGCCUCCUGCAGCCCAGCGCUACCUGCACAGCUUCUAGGGGAGGCUGCGCCUCCCACGCAUCCUAAUCACAUGUCUACAGGAAUUCAGAGGCCGAGGAGCCCAUGGAGGCCUGGAGAGAGGAGGCAGGGUGUCCCGGAGAAGGAGGAGGGCAGAGCACAAGCUGCUGCGUUUCUACUCUGCCUCCUGUGUCAGCAACUCUCCCCAUCCACAGGAAGGAGUCUGGGCAGAACUGAAGUUUGUCACAAGGAGCUGCUAAACAGAUCAAAAGGCAUUGAAGGAUGGAGUGACAUGAUAUAUGACCUGCCCAAUCCUUGACUGCACAUCACAUAAGCAGUCCUAAGAUGUGAAGUAUAUGAUGCCACCAGUUGAAUGGAUUGAAGCUCCCACACGUACACUGUUGGUUUCAGAUUCUCUACUCUACAACAUCAGAAAAGAAUCUAUUUUUGGUGAGAUAACAAAUGUGCUAUGUUACUCUAGAAUAAAGACAUCUGUUUACUUACAAUUUUAAGUGAUAAGAGUUCUGCUUCUAUUUUACAGUAGACAAUCUAAAGCUAAAAGAUGUAAAUCCAAACAGUGUCGGGUGUUGAAACAUCUACUCCCAGCUUCCUUUCACAUCCCCUUCUGCAGGCAGUGUUCCCCACUGUUCAUCCCUGGUCUCCUGCAGUGCGUCUGUUUCAGACUGUGCUUCUUUAUACAAAGUCCUAGCAAGUAAUCCAGUGCAACACCAGGGGGCUAAUUCACCUCUGCUUCCUCAGCUAGUAUUGGCCAAGGUGACCAGUCCACUUUUGGAACUCAGCAGCACCCCCACAAUUUUCAAAUAAUGUUACCCAAAUGCACGUUCCUUGUCCUGAGCUCUACAAACCUGUAAUUCAGGCAUAGGGAAGCAACUGACACACUAUCUUCUUGUUGGGUAUGAAGGGGUUUUUUUGCAUAGAUUUCACGGCAGAGGUGUGUCCAGACCUGUUCCACCUUCUCACUGCUAGAAACCUGGUCCUACAGACAGGGAGUGGUAGCUUAUGCAUAAGUUGCUGUCUUUCUCUGGUCUUAGACAUGUGGCAGGCACUUUCAGAGAAAAAAUUCUGAGGCAGUGAAUUCUGGUUGUCUGUAGCCUACUGAAUUACAUUCCUCCUUAUUUAUUUCCUUAGUUCAUGAAACUAAAGUAGAGAUACUGAUGUCUUUGCCACUUUGUUAGUCUGAACGCAGUUGUGUAAAGGCUCUAUCUAAAACCAGUUACUGGAUUUUUCUGUUUCUUUGGUCCUAUCCUCCUGGGAGAGGCCCCAGUGGUUACUCAUGUAUUUAUGUGGCCAGACAACCCUAAGCCUUCUAAGGCAGAGGAAGGGCUCAGGGAGUAGAUUUGGAAAGUAGAGAAAGGAGAAAAGAAUUCUGCCUUCAAGAAAGGACCUCAUUUACUGCUUUUCAGCAAAUUGUUCAAGAAUAGGAUAUACCUGCUGUGCGCAAAACGGGAGAAAAACUGACUUUCAAGGGCUCAUGAGCAGAACAAGGAAGGCAGGCUAUUGCAGCUCUGAGACUGUCCCAUAUUGCGUCCAAUGAUGGUGCCGGGAAACUCCAACUGUGCACACCCGAGCAGGUAGGAAUGUGCUGGAACCACACUGUAAAACCGCUCAGGCUGUGAUGCAUCGGUCCCAGGUGCACUUGUCCAUCUGCUACACAUGCAGGCUCCCUGCCCUCUGAAGCACUUUUUAGAUACAAAGGCAGGUGACCACCUGUAUGUACCCCAAAGACUGUGGCAGACAAAGUUAGAGGUGACAGAGUGACACAACAGAGGCCCCAAGCCCAGGCCAGUAAAAUGGCAAAGAGACAAGAAGUCCACGCACAGAUGUAAGUGAGGAUUUUCCAGGGUCGGCCAAUUAUGGCAAAGCAGCAAGAGUGCCCAUUGAAGGCUAGCGACAGGGCUCCACAGGGGUGACCAUGGAGGCAGGUGCCCAGGCACAGGCGUCUCCAUAGGCUCAGCUGGAGAAUGUGAAAGAGCUGAUCUGCACACAGCUCGCAGUUACCUGGAGGAGCCAGGAGAGCAUGCUCAGAGCAGCACUUGUUAUUCAGACCUGCAAAUUUGCUUUGAUCCUGUAAUAUCCUGCCACUGUGGCAGCAUGAGAGAUGGCUGACACAAAAGUGUCAGAUGACUUAUAGCACGUAAAGAAUUGUCUCUGAAGCCUGAUUUGUAUUUCAUCGAUAUUUGAGUGAAAACGACUUCUGCUUUUUUUUUUUAAAGGGACAUAAUGGAUUAGGCUGAAUUACCAAGUAUUUAAUACAAAAGGAUUAAUUGGGUAGGCUAAAUGUAGAUACAUUUCUGUCAUUUCAAACAGGUGUAGUGACCUUCACUCACAUCCUUAGUGAAUAUAUUAUACAUACUUGUAUGGCUUCAGAUUCAAGUCUCUUCUUCCAAUGUAGAAGAAAUCAACAGAAGGAGGGCAGUACACAGAAAUUCCCCUCAUAUGCACUCAGUUAUUUUGCAGCAGCUUACAUGUUCCUCUGUAAUUAUUCUUCCACCUCUCCCAAAACAGUCACUUAUACUUUCUCUGUGUCCAGCCUUUCGGGGUUCUGCUCACAGAAGCCUAUGGUCUGGCAGGGAAGGCAACAUGGCAGCUGAAGGUGUUUUGUUCCUUCUCGUGUACAACCUUAUGUAAUACCUCUAUAAUUGGGUUGUACAUGUCUUGAAGGAUCCUCUCUUUUAUUCUCUGGCUUUUGCCUAAAGUAGGCUGAGAGGUCGCCUGAUGCCUGCACAGUCACUGGCUGCAUGCAUACCAGGGAGCAGAACCAGCAGGAGAGAUGAACAGACUCCAAGGGGUUAAGGUUUCUAACACCGGCAACAGCAGAGACACAGGAGGCAUGAGAAACAGAUAGGAAGAUGAUCCUGUCUUCCCCACAGGAAAUUCAUUCAUUCAUGGUGACAACUCACCAGAAUUCAGAACAAGAGAGACCAUGGUCUGCACUCAGAACAAACAGUGGCUUGCUGCUCCCAACAAAGCAAAGAACAUUUCUGAAAUGGAGAUAGGGAUGUGUGUGUGUGCAUGUCCAAGUGUAUGCAUAUGUGUGUGUGUGUGUGUGUGUGUGUGUGUGUGUGCGUGUCAUGUGCAUACAUUUGGGAAGAACCUCUGAUCAGAUAUGGGGAAUGUGAAAAUUGUAAAAGAGAUCUAGUCUGGUUACUCACGCAGGCAAAUGUGUGUGUGUGGGGGGAAUAGCUAGCCUUAAACAAAAAUGUGCGUGUGUAAAUAUGUUGUGUAUGUAUGUAUUUGCAGGAAUACUAUCAGAAUAAAGUUUACAGAGGUUGGGGUUGGCAUAUGAUAUGAAGUUUUAUAUAAGAAACCUCAUUACUCUAAAUUAUAAAAUGCAGAACUUAGUAUUUAAAAUACUGAAUAAGCCUUCAAUAAGAUUGGAGAAAAAAGUUAUAUGGUUUUCUCCUUGCUUUAGUCUGUGAGUAUGUGUUUUCUUUUAGUCUCAUAUUUUUCAAAAUCAUUACCCAGUUUGUAGUCAAUUAAGUGUUUCCUGGUUAAAUGAAGUUGUUUUAUAAUUGUAUAUGUUUUUGCAUCUCCUUUGUACCACAGUUUACCUUUAAUUAAAUGGAUUUGCUGUCCAAAUUGAAUUGACGGAUGUGAAACGAUGAUUCUCUAUUGAUUAAACACUUUGAGUAAAAUAGCCAUUUCGUUGCCUAAGGAGAUCUUCCAGAGGUAACAGUCACACUUGCAAUUAUACAGAACACAAUGGGGCGUGCAUAGAUAUCUUCAUUAAACAAUCGUGAGAG